CCUACGGGGGACAGCAGUGGGGGAUAUUGCACAAUGGGGGGAACCCUGAUGCAGCGACGCCGCGUGGGUGAAGAAGCGCCUCGGCGCGUAAAGCCCUGUCAGCAGGGAAGAAAAUGACGGUACCUGAAGAAGAAGCCCCGGCUAACUACGUGCCAGCAGCCGCGGUAAUACGUCGGGGGCAAGCGUUAUCCGGCUUUACUGGGUGUAAAGGGGGCGCAGACGGCGAUGCAAGCCAGGAGUGAAAGCCCGGGGCCCACCCCCGGGACUGCUCUUGGAACUGCGUGGCUGGAGUGCAGGUGGGGCAGGCGGACUUCCUGUUGUAGCGGUGAAAUGCGUCGAUAUC
rnacentral:rRNA from 1 species